rnacentral:rRNA from 1 species
GAUGAACGCUGGCGGCGUGCCUAAUACAUGCAAGUAGAACGCUGAAGCUUGGUGCUUGCACCGAGCGGAUGAGUUGCGAACGGGUGAGUAACGCGUAGGUAACCUGCCUCUUAGCGGGGGAUAACUAUUGGAAACGAUAGCUAAUACCGCAUAAAAGUCGAUAUCGCAUGAUGUUGACUUGAAAGGUGCAAUUGCAUCACUAAGAGAUGGACCUGCGUUGUAUUAGCUAGUUGGUGAGGUAACGGCUCACCAAGGCGACGAUACAUAGCCGACCUGAGAGGGUGAUCGGCCACACUGGGACUGAGACACGGCCCAGACUCCUACGGGAGGCAGCAGUAGGGAAUCUUCGGCAAUGGGGGCAACCCUGACCGAGCAACGCCGCGUGAGUGAAGAAGGUUUUCGGAUCGUAAAGCUCUGUUGUAAGAGAAGAACGAGUGUGAGAGUGGAAAGUUCACACUGUGACGGUAACUUACCAGAAAGGGACGGCUAACUACGUGCCAGCAGCCGCGGUAAUACGUAGGUCCCGAGCGUUAUCCGGAUUUAUUGGGCGUAAAGCGAGCGCAGGCGGUUAGAUAAGUCUGAAGUUAAAGGCUGUGACUUAACCAUAGUACGCUUUGGAAACUGUUUAACUUGAGUGCAGAAGGGGAGAGUGGAAUUCCAUGUGUAGCGGUGAAAUGCGUAGAUAUAUGGAGGAACACCGGUGGCGAAAGCGGCUCUCUGGUCUGUAACUGACGCUGAGGCUCGAAAGCGUGGGGAGCAAACAGG